UUAUAGGGGAUGAUCAAGUAGAGCCACAAAGAAGCCAGUGGACUAAAGAGAGGUUGAGGUUGUGUGAUUUGAUCUCUUGAUCCACAAUUAAUACAGUUGCUAUAAAAAUAAGAGAGGAUAUGAGAAAAGAAAAAUGUUGAUAGGCAGAAUUAGAAAUUAGAAAUGGUUACUGUUUAGCUAUGAGAAAGAAGGACAUUCUUCCCAUUGUGACCAAAUAGGUAGACCUUGAACAUAUUAUACUAAGAAUUGUACCCGGAUGUCCACUUUUCAUUGAAAUAAAAGAAUGUUGAAGUAUUUAUACACAACCAAAUUACAUUAGCCAAAAAAUGUUCUGCUUCCUAACUGCUUUUCACCCAGACAGAUAGAAGGUCUGUUGAUGGCUACACAUUGCCUAAUGGUCAACAUCUGACAGACACGAUCCUCUCCACCUGUUUCCCGGGAACACUGGCACCUUAUCGUUUCUGUGGAAAGACGCUAUAGUUUGUUAUCCAGGAAAGUUCCAUCGCAAUUCUAACUUCAAUGGGUAUAAGUUGAUAAUUAACUUUUUUAAAAGUUCAUUUUCUUAUUUGUAAAAGGA